GGCCUCCAGGGACACACCAGGGGACCUGGAACUUGACAACUAGGCUUCACCGACUGGCCAGAGGCCAAAGGGACUGUAAUGGCUUCUUCUGGUUGUCAGCUUGACUAUAUCUGAAACCGGGGCUCACCUGUGAGGGAUUUCUGCUCAAUCCGAAGUGGGAAGAAUCGCUUCUAGUCUGCAUCUCUGAGGUGGGAAGACCCGCCUCUAGUCUGGGUCACGCCUUCUGCUGGAAAGCCUAUGUAAGGAUGUAGAAGAAGGAAGUUUAGCUCUUCGCCUGCUUUCUUCUGACUUGUUAGUGAGUCCAUUCCAUCGCUGGCAUUAGAACCUAAUUCUUGUGCAUUCUGGCAUGUACCGAAGACCAGCUGAGACAUCCAGCCUCAUGAACAACUGCAAGUUUCUUGGACCUUCCGUUCAUAGGCAGCCAUUGGUGGAUUAGCUGGACCAAACCUGGUUCCACUUGGCUGGAAGAUGCAUCUAAGCACCAGUUGCUGACGACAACCUGCUCUGAUAGGCUGUGAGCCCUGGACUUCCUGAAGGCUGAUGUGGACCAGUCCAGGUGAUGUGACUG